CCUACGGGAGGCAGCAGUGGGGAAUCUUGCGCAAUGGGCGAAAGCCUGACGCAGCGACGCCGCGUGGGGGAAGAAGGCCUUAGGGUUGUAAACCUCUUUCAGGUGGGACGAAGCCACUCGGGUUAAUAGCCCAGAGGGUGACGGUACCGCCAGAAGAAGCCCCGGCUAACUACGUGCCAGCAGCCGCGGUAAUACGUAGGGGGCAAGCGUUGUCCGGAUUUAUUGGGCGUAAAGAGCGUGUAGGCGGCCAGGUAGGUGGGUUGUGAAAACUGGAGGCUCAACCUUCAGACGUCGACCCAAACCCCCUGGCUAGAGUCCGGAAGAGGAGAGUGGAAUUCCUGGUGUAGCGGUGAAAUGCGCAGAUAUCAGGAAGAACACCCGUGGCGAAGGCGGCUCUCUGGAACGGUACUGACGCUGAGACGCGAAAGCGUGGGGAGCGAACAGGAUUAGAUACCCUGGUAGUCCACGCCGUAAACGAUGGGUGCUAGGUGUGGGGGGUGUCAACUCCCUCCGUGCCGAAGCUAACGCAUUAAGCACCCGCCUGGGGAGUACGGCCGCAGGCUAAAACUCAAAGGAAUUGACGG
rnacentral:rRNA from 1 species